GUCAUGUUUUCUGGCCAUUAAGACUGAACUCUCAUGAUUCAGCAGUUUUACAGAGUGAUCUCUGGAAUACAGUUUCCAGAAAACAUUAUGAAAGUUUUCAUAGAAAGUUCAUGUAGAUUUGGAGUAAAACCAAUUUAGCCCCAAGGCUCUGUUUAUGUAUCGUGUCAAGACAAAGAUCAUGAUCUGGCAGAUCUACAGAAUUGCUGAUUCUACAAGAUGGCAAUUUCUUCCUUACCAUUCAUACAAAUACGUACUGUACUGCUUGGAAAGGAAAAGACAUGGGAAGGUUUGUCCUGUUAUUCUGUUCCUUGCCUCUUUCAGCUGUUGGGCCUUCUCUGCUUGAGCCUCCCCUGAGCCUUGCUGUGGUUUAUGGUUAAUGGCCUCCUGGUGUGUGCUGAUCCUAAUCACACUAAUUAACCAGCAGGGUUAAUCAGCCAUGGAAGAGGCUAGACAGGGAAGCAACUGUGUGCACUGAUCUCAGGGGUCACAUUGGGUCACUCAGGGUCAAGGGCUGGGUCAGAGGUCGGGAAGAAGGAAGGCAAGACUUGAACACCAGCCAGGAAUGCUCUGUAGGAGAUGUGCAGAAAUGCAAAUCAGACAUCUGACGAACGUUGAUGAGAUUGAUCAAAAUUUAUUUAUGCUCCCAUAGGAGACUGGUGGAGACAAGACAGCGCAGCCGCUCCCUCGUUAGCAGUGAUGAUGUCAGACUCAUAACGAGCAGAUGACAGCUACUGCAGCACGUUCCCUACAGGAAGACAGGAAGAUUGAUCUCCUCCCAGAUAAGCAGGAUCUGCAACGAUGCUCAUGUUCUCAGCACCAGUUUCUGCACAAUGCUACAGCAAACCAUCUUUAAAAGUAUUUCAUUUCACUUUUAUUAUUUAGAACCUCUUAAGUUUGUAUUCUGUGUACUUGUGUACCUGAAAUCAGACCAAUUUGGUUGAGGGGACCCAAUGUAUCAUGCUUAUGAAUGAUUGAUAGAUAAAAGUGACAGCACUUUGAACAACUUUCUGUAAUAAAUGUGAAUUCAUCUUUUGUUAUCAAAUCAAAAAAUAUCAAUGCUAGACAUGUUAAAGUUAAUUUGCUUAAUGCUCUCUUGCAUCAAAUUUUGUGUUUUUGGAGUGGUAGAUUACACCAGAAUCAGGCAUUGGAUGUCUUUUUUUUUCCAAGCUGCUUUUCACAUUCGAAGAUUUGACACCAAACUGGAUCAGAAGUUUAUUUUACAGUAGGUCUGUGAUGAAAAUGAUGAAAAGAAGCAGAACUACGAUAGCCCCACCAGCUGGGACGUCGUGGCAGACAGGUCAUUCGCAUUGUGCGUUUCAUGGGAGUCAUUUGCAUCAGACACCCCACGGGAGUUGUCUAGACGCUGGAAGACCUGCGCAAUCGAUGAUGUCAUCUCCUGUGACGUAAGAAUAAUGGUGAGAUAGUCCAGGAUGUAUGCUGUGAUGCUGAGUCUCCUCUCCCAUCCUCUGGACAGAAAAAUUUGAUUAGGAUACAAUUCCUGUAACAAUUACUCCCAGCUUUUGUGUCUAGAUUUUUCACAUCACCCACCAUGUA